GCAGACUUGUUUCCUGCAUUCCGGCUCACAAGGUUUCACAGCUGGGCCUGAACUCAUGCCUCACCGGGCCAGCAGAUUUAUAUCUGACAGUUGCAGGUUACCAACCAUUGAGGAACAACUAUGUCUAAGUUAUCAUUAUAUAUCCAACGAUCAAAUCUCGACUCACUAAAGAUAGAAGAGGAGAGAGAGGUACCUGUGGUGGGAGAGCAGAGAAGGACUCUCAUCACAUGGAGGGUGCACCCACUAACCGGACAAGUUCGUAAAUGGGAUGGCUUUCGCAUGUCACUGCCAAAAUGAACUGCAAUCGCAAGCGGGGUCUACUGCUUGCCUUUGCUGCAGCCAAUCCAGCAGACAUCACUGCAUUCGAACCAUGUCGCUCGUUCUGAUGGAACCAUAUGAACAAGCAGUCGACAAGAAUCUCCAAAUGCACAUGAAGCCAUCAUCAAAAGAAACAUCAGCAGCAAUGCCGGGCUUCAAUCAUUGGCAGCAGCUGCCCGCGUCUCAUCCAACCCCCAUCCCCCACCAAUGGCGACGCGAAACCUCAGCCGUCUCUGACCGCACUUCCCACCCCUUCAUUGAUCCGACGCUAGUAAAUUCCUUCCCAGCAGGACCAACCAAACCGAAAGCACCACUUGCUAAUUGUGGCAUUACAUCGAACAGCUGAUCGACGCAACCAAGGUCGCGAGUGGCCGAUGGCAACUUCGACAGCGAAACCGACCGUAGCAGAGAAGAACUCAGGUGAAGCGCGACCGAUGGCGGCGUGACUCACACGCCGGGGAACCGUAUUCAACUCCCUCCACGCAAACAGAUACGUCCAUCUAACCUUAUCCGAUCCAUCAAAUGGGGGUCAGGAAGGAUUUAGAUGGAAAAGGAUGGCGAUCGAGUGCAUACCUAAAUAUGAUGGCAAUGGAUUGGAUUGGCCCCCAAUAAUUGGGAGACGCAGAAAUAUCGGAGCACAAGUGGGAAUGUGGCGGAGUGCGACUGGUUAUGGGACGGUGGCAAGGGGGGAUAUUGGACCAUACAAGACGUGGCGUCGUCUGCUUGAAGGAAGGGAGAUGGGCGAUGGCACCGUGUGAGAGCCACCUUCGCUGCCAACGACGACGCCACAGAAAACCAAAUGAAGAGCGCGUCGAGGCCAUGAUGGUUCCCCUACCUCGGGGGACGGAGAGAGGGUGGACUCUCCGCCCCGUGUCGCACCUCCCUACCUCGGGACGGAGACAGUCAACUCUUUC
rnacentral:lncRNA from 1 species